rnacentral:rRNA from 1 species
CUGGUUGAUCCUGCCAGUAGUCAUAUGCUUGUCUCAAAGAUUAUGCCAUGCAUGUCUCAGUAUAAGCUUCUACACGGCGAAACUGCGAAUGGCUCAUUAAAACAGUUAUCGUUUAUUUGGUGGUCAUUCAUUACAUGGAUAACCAUGGUAAUUCUAGAGCUAAUACAUGCGUCCUGACCCGACUUUGUGGAAGGGUUGUGUUUAUUAGGUACAGAACCAACCCAGGCUCUGCCUGGUCCUUUGGUGAUUCAUGGUAACCGAACGAAUCGCAUAGCAUCAGCUGGCGAUGGAUCAUUCAAGUUUCUGACCUAUCAGCUUCCGACGGUAGGGUAUUGGCCUACCGUGGCAAUGGCGGGUAACGGAGAAUUAGGGUUCGAUUCCGGAGAGGGAGCCUGAGAAACGGCUACCACAUCUAAGGAAGGCAGCAGGCACGCAAAUUACCCAAUCCUGACACAGAGAGGUAGUGACAAGAAAUAACAAUGUGGAGCAAUCUUUGUUCUGCAUUUGGGAUGAGUCGUAGUUAAAUCUCACGACGAUUAUCGAUUGGAGGGCAAGUCUGG